rnacentral:lncRNA from 1 species
CAUGACCUACAGUGGGGCUUCAACGCUUCUAAAAUCAGAACUAGCUGAAGUACUUCCAAACCUGGCUAUUUGGGUAGAUUUUCCGUGUCAGGUAUGUCCAGCACUUCUUCUGACCCCAUAUGGGAGCUCUAUCGCAUAACAAGACAGCUGAGCUUGCCUGCAGCUGCAGAGCAGGGUGGUUCACCAGUCACUACUCAGAAGGUGCAGCUGAUAGAGAUGCAGGAAACUGCUGGUGGGCAGCUCCCAGCAGCAGCCUGUGGGAUCAGCAAGCAGGAGGGUGAUGAUGUAGCUGUGCAGCAGGCAGGUGACCCAGGAGUGCUGCAGCAGAGAAUGAUGGAAAGGGAACUGAUGGAGAAUGCUACUCAGGCUGUAACUCUUCUUCAGUUGUUAAAUCUGCUAUUGAGAGAUUCCCCUCUUGAUGGUUUGCUGACAGUGGCACAGAAAAACCAAGAAGUUUCUGCCUGGUCUUCCAUAACAAGAGACAACGUGCCCAGAGAUCAUUGGCCAGCCAUACUUUUGGUAAUAAAAUCACCCAUCCAUGGAAGCAACAACUGCUACUUUCACUACUGUGGAAAACCAGAGGCAGUUUCUAUUGUUGAGAGUCCAACAUUCUCCUGCUCUGAAACUUCACGUACAUUUUGUGGGGUCUGA